UACGAAGGGGCUAGCGUUGUUCGGAAUUACUGGGCGUAAAGCGCGCGCAGGCGGUCUUCCAAGUCAGUGGUGAAAGCCCGGAGCUCAACUCCGGAACUGCCAUUGAAACUGUGAGACUUGAGGAUGAGAGAGGUGAGUGGAAUUCCCAGUGUAGAGGUGAAAUUCGUAGAUAUUGGGAAGAACACCGGUGGCGAAGGCGGCUCACUGGCUCAUUUCUGACGCUCAGGCGCGACAGCGUGGGGAUCAAACAGG
rnacentral:rRNA from 1 species